CCCCCUAGCCCUCCUUCCUCAGAUCCGGCGCUGCCACCUUGAAAUUCGCGUCAAACCGCUGCCCCGCCGCCACUUGUCACCUCCCCGUAGGCCAGCGCCGCCGCCAGCCUCGCCCUCCACCUCUCCCUACUUGCCACGUGGCCCCUACCCGCUCCCUCCGCCGCGGCCCUGCGAAGCCCGCGGGAGGCCCGCCCGGGCCCGACCGUAUCGCUCCUCGCCAACCUGUCGUCGCAUUCCUCCGCGCCGCCAUGCCAGAACCCCGCCACUGGGAUCCGUCGCCAUCGCUCUAGUCGGAGAGGGCCUAGAGCUCGCCGGCGCCGGAAAUGGGUCCCCGGAGCCAGAUCCGGCCUCUACCACUCCGGAUCUGCCAACCCUGUGCGUUGGACCUCGCCGGAGUCGCGCCAAACCGCCGUCGUCAUCCUGCCUCGUUCGGUGCAGCCUCGUCGCGCCCUCCUGCCUGUGUUGACCGAGGCCGCGCCAGGCCCAGAUCCAGCGCGCCCCUUUCCGGCCUGUCUCCACCGGCCGGGCCAAGGCCCAUGGUUGCAGGUGCCGAUGAUACCAGUGUAGGUGACGCUACCGAACUCAAAUGGGAGUUCGACGAGGACCUUGGUUGUUACUAUGUUUCGUUUCCUGAUGAUCGGUUGUGAGGCCCAGUUGGGACGAUCGGGGAUCUAGCAUUUGGGGUUGUCUUCUUUUAUUUUGGUUCCAUAGCCGGACCUUGAUUGUACUCUGGAUGAUGUAUGUUUAACUUGUUAUUUGUGUGAAGUGGCGAUUGUAAGCCAACUCUUUAUCCCUUUCUUAUUCAGUACAUGAGAUUAUGUAAA